GAAUCCACUCAUUAUUCUGCUACGGGCCUGAUGACAUAGAUUUCAUUGCUGAGUGAUAUUGCUUUGUACAAUCAUCGUACCUGAAUCCACUCAUUAUGCUGCUACGGGCCUGAUGACAUAGAUUUCAUUGCUGAGUGAUACUGCAUUGUACGUAAAAUCAUCGUACCUGAAUCCACUCAUUAUGCUGCUACGGGCCUGAUGACAUAGAUUUCAUUGCUGAGUGAUAUUGCAUUGUACGUAAAAUCAUCGUACCUGAAUCCACUCAUUAUGCU